GUGAUGAGGUAUACCGCGCCGGAGAACGAUGAUCGCUGAAUCCACUACUGA
rnacentral:snoRNA from 2 species